AUGUCCGAUGUUGUAAUCCCACGAUUCCCGCUGAUGCAUAUAUCUGACCGAAUGGUGAUUGAGCAGUGUCGUACAAAUGUCGUAAAAAAAUUGGUGCAUAUGUCUGACCGAAUGGUGACCGAGCAGUGUCGUACAAACGUCGUAAAAAAAAUCAUCGUGGGCCUAGCACUACUCUUUUGUGAUCAUGGCAAGCAUAGUUUAUCUGAUGUGUUGCCUAUUGAGUCAAUAUGGUGGAGACUUCACUUGGUUCACUCACUGCAAGUGCAAGGCCAGCACUGGUGUGCCAAUGUUGCAGAACAAGUGAAGCUAAAUCACCCACAGGGCAGAGGGCCUGCGUUAACUGCAUAA
rnacentral:rRNA from 1 species